rnacentral:rRNA from 1 species
CAGUCGCCGCGGUAAUACGGGGGGGGCAAGUGUUAUUCGGAAUGACUGGGCGUAAAGGGCACGUAGGCGGUGAAAGGGUGGAAAGUGAAAGUCGCCAAAACACUGGCGGGGUGCUUUCUUGACCAUUUCACUUGAGUGAGAUAGGGGAGAGUGGAAUUUCGUGUGGAGGGAUCAAAUCCUAAGAUAUACGAAGGAACGCCAACCGCGAAGGCAGCUCUCUGGGUCCCCACUGACACUGGGGUGCGAAAGCAUGGGGAGCAAACAGGAUCAGAUACCCGAGUAGUCCCUGUCUCUUAUACAC